rnacentral:rRNA from 1 species
GACGAACGCUGGAGGUAUGCCUCAUACAUGCAAGUCGAACGGACUUGUUGGAGCUUGCUCUAACAAGUUAGUGGCGCACGGGUGAGUAACGCGUGGGUAACCUGCCUUUCAAUCUGGGAUAACACUGUGAAAAUAGUGCUAAUACCGGAUAAUAAGUUUGAUCGUAUGAUCAGAUUUUAAAAGAUGCCCAAUUAACAAUGGUAUCGUUGAGAGAGGGGCCUGCGUACUAUUAGCUAGUUGGUAAGGUAAAAGCUUACCAAGGCGAAGAUGGUUAGCCGGCUUGAGAGAGUGAUCGGCCACACUGGAACUGAGACACGGUCCAG